rnacentral:rRNA from 1 species
UGCCUAACACAUGCAAGUCGAACGGGAUCCGGACUUCGGUUCGGUGAGAGUGGCGGACGGGUGAGUAACGCGUGGGAACCUGCCCAUUGGUCUGGGAUAACUGCGGGAAACUGCAGCUAAUACCGGAUGUACCCCCCUGGUCAAACGGGGAGGGGAAAGAUUUAUCGCCGAUGGAGGGGCCCGCGUCAGAUUAGGUAGUUGGUGAGGUAACGGCUCACCAAGCCUACGAUCUGUAGCUGGUCUGAGAGGAUGAUCAGCCACACUGGGACUGAGAUACGGCCCAGACUCCUACGGGAGGCAGCAGUGGGGAAUAUUGGACAAUGGGGGCAACCCUGAUCCAGCAAUGCCGCGUGAGUGAUGAAGGCCUUAGGGUUGUAAAGCUC